UACGGAGGGUGCAAGCGUUAUCCGGAUUUACUGGGUUUAAAGGGUGCGUAGGUGGGUAAGUAAGUCAGUGGUGAAAUCUUCGAGCUUAACUCGGAAACUGCCAUUGAUACUAUUUAUCUUGAAUACUUUGGAGGUCAGCGGAAUAUGUCAUGUAGCGGUGAAAUGCUUAGAUAUGACAUAGAACACCAAUUGCGAAGGCAGCUGGCUACACAAAUAUUGACACUGAGGCACGAAAGCGUGGGGAUCAAACAGG
rnacentral:rRNA from 1 species